CACCUGCAGGCUGCCCACCACCAGGCUGGGCUGGGCGAGUAUCUCCUCAAAAGGCUCACCCUCAAGCACGACUAGGAGC
rnacentral:pre_miRNA from 2 species